GACGAACGCUGGCGGCGUGCUUAACACAUGCAAGUCGAACGGAAAGGCCCUGCUUUUGUGGGGUGCUCGAGUGGCGAACGGGUGAGUAACACGUGAGUAACCUGCCCUUGACUUUGGGAUAACUUCAGGAAACUGGGGCUAAUACCGGAUAGGAGCUCCUGCUGCAUGGUGGGGGUUGGAAAGUUUCGGCGGUUGUGGAUGGACUCGCGGCUUAUCAGCUUGUUGGUGGGGUAGGUGCUUACCAAGGCUUUGACGGGUAGCCGGCCUGGGAGGGUGACCGGCGACAUUGGGACUGAGAUACGGCCCAGACUGCUAUGGGAGGCAGCAGUGGGGAAUAUUGCACAAUGGGCGGAAGCCUGAUGCAGCAACGCCGCGUGCGGGAUGACGGCCUUCGGGUUGUAAACCGCUUUCGCCUGUGACGAAGCGUGAGUGACGGUAAUGGGUAAAGAAGCACCGGCUAACUACGUG
rnacentral:rRNA from 1 species